rnacentral:rRNA from 1 species
UCAGACGAUGCGUCAUGCAUAUCAAUAAGCGGAGGAAAAGAAACUAACAAGGAUUCCCCUAGUAACGGCGAGUGAAGCGGGAAGAGCUCAAAUUUGAAAUCUUAAAGGGUUUCCCUUUACGAAUUGUAGUUUAAAGAAGUGUUUUCUGUUGAGGUUUUGGUAAAAGUUCUUUGGAAUAGGACAUCAUAGAGGGUGAGAAUCCCGUAUUUGACCUUUACUUUCAACUUUGUGAUACACUUUCAAAGAGUCGGAUUGUUUGGGAAUGCAGUCCAAAAUGGGUGGUAAAUUUCAUCUAAAGCUAAAUAUUGGCGAGAGACCGAUAGCGAACAAGUACCGUGAGGGAAAGAUGAAAAGAACUUUGAAAAGAGAGUUAAACAGUACGUGAAAUUGUCAAAAGGGAAGCGUUUGACACCAGUGUUGUUUUUCUGAAAAUCAAUUAAAGAACUGUUUAUGCUAAGCUGUUUAGACUUUAUCAGCUAUCUGUUUAGUUUUAGAGCUUUUCUUUAAUGCACUUUUCAGUUAACAAGUCAACAUCAAUUUCUUUUGCUGUAAAAAAGCUUGAGGAAGGUGGCUUGAGAUUCGUCUUAAGUGUUUAUAGCCUCUUGCCUAUGCAGUCGGAGAGAUUGAGGUCUGCAGCGUAGAUCCUUCGGGGCUAAAUGCAUUUGUGCUAAGUUAUAGCAUUUUAUAGACAACUUGUUGACUAUGAUUUGUCUUGUAGCUUACUCGCUUAUGUUAUUUUACCUACGCUUAGGAUGUUGACACACGCGCGUGCUCG